AUUGAACGCUGGCGGCGUGCUUAACACAUGCAAGUCGAGCGGUAACAGGCGUAGCAAUACGUGCUGACGAGCGGCGAACGGGCGAGUAAUGCUUCGGAAUCUUCCUUGUAGUGGGGAAUAACCUGGGGAAACUCAGGCUAAUGCCGCAUACGAACCAUGGUUGAAAGCGGGGGAUCGCAAGACCUCGCGCUAUAAGAUGAGCCGAAGUCGGAUUAGCUAGUUGGUGGGGUAAAGGCCUACCAAGGCGACGAUCCGUAGCUGGUCUGGGAGGACGACCAGCCACACUGGGACUGAGACACGGCCCAGACUCCUACGGGAGGCAGCAGUGGGGAAUAUUGGACAAGGGGGGCAACCCUGAUCCAGCGACGCCGCGUGUGUGAAGAAGGCCUGCGGGUUGUAAAGCACUUUUAGUGGGGACAAAAAGCCGAGGGCUAAUACCUUUCGGUCUUGAUUUAACCCAAAGAAAAAGCACCGGCUAACUCUGUGCCAGCCGCCGCUGUAACAC
rnacentral:rRNA from 1 species